CCUACGGGAGGCAGCAGUAAGGAAUAUUGGUCAAUGGACGCAAGUCUGAACCAGCCAUGCCGCGUGAAGGAUUAAGGUCCUCUGGAUUGUAAACUUCUUUUAUCUGGGACGAAAAAAGGCGAUUCUUCGUCACUUGACGGUACCAGAUGAAUAAGCACCGGCUAACUCCGUGCCAGCAGCCGCGGUAAUACGGAGGGUGCAAGCGUUAUCCGGAUUCACUGGGUUUAAAGGGUGCGUAGGCGGGCAGGUAAGUCAGUGGUGAAAUCCUAGAGCUUAACUCUAGAACUGCCAUUGAUACUAUCUGUCUUGAAUAUUGUGGAGGUAAGCGGAAUAUGUCAUGUAGCGGUGAAAUGCUUAGAUAUGACAUAGAACACCUAUUGCGAAGGCAGCUUACUACGCAUAUAUUGACGCUGAGGCACGAAAGCGUGGGGAUCAAACAGGAUUAGAUACCCUGGUAGUCCACGCCCUAAACGAUGAUUACUCGACAUUGUGAUACACUAUAAGUGUCUGAGCGAAAGCAUUAAGUAAUCCACCUGGGAAGUACGACCGCAAGGUUGAAACUCAAAUGAUAGAGNGNGAGAGNGCGAGGCGACACGAGGGAGUAGG
rnacentral:rRNA from 1 species